CGAUCACCUCUAAAGCAGGCAACCAUUUGCGGUCCAAAGGGUUUGACGUUAUCACCUUGCUUCUGAAGAAACUAUAAGAGACCAUCUCAAAGAGGCAUACAGAACUGCUCCAUCAAUCACAUUCAUUGAUGACAUAGAUGCAAUUGCUUCCAAGCGAGAAAAUCUGCAAUGGGAGAUGGAACGGCGGAUAGUAACACAGCUUAUGACUUGCAUGGAUGAAUCACAUCACACUCAUUCACCUGAUCAUUACUAGACAGAAACAUCUGAGAAGAAGACUAAUUAUGUUAUUGCAAGCGGAUCAACAAACAGAACAUAUGCACUUCAACAAGCUUUGAGGAGACCUGAACGGUUUGAUUGUGAGAUUUCUUUGGGUGCAUUUGAUGAAAAUGCACGGCUAGAGAUCCUGUUAAUUCUUACUCGAAAAUGCAAAUGUGUGUUUUGGGGAGAGUAGAGUCAAUGAGAUAUAGUUUUACCUAAUAAUUAAGGUCGAUUGAACUUUUAAGUGUUUGAUAAAGUUUCAAAUUGAGUAUUGCAUGAUUGCAAGGUUAGGUGAUC